rnacentral:rRNA from 1 species
GAUGAACGCUAGCUACAGGCUUAACACAUGCAAGUCGAGGGGAAACGAUAGAGAAAGCUUGCUUUUUCUAGGCGUCGACCGGCGCACGGGUGAGUAACGCGUAUCCAACCUGCCCACCACUUGGGGAUAACCUUGCGAAAGUAAGACUAAUACCCAAUGACGUCUCUAGAAGACAUCUGAAAGAGAUUAAAGAUUUAUCGGUGAUGGAUGGGGAUGCGUCUGAUUAGCUUGUUGGCGGGUAACGGCCCACCAAGGCGACGAUCAGUAGGGGUUCUGAGAGGAAGGUCCCCCACAUUGGAACUGAGACACGGUCCAAACUCCUACGGGAGGCAGCAGUGAGGAAUAUUGGUCAAUGGGACGAGAGUCUGAACCUAGCCAAGUAGCGUGCAGGAUGACGGCCCGUACUGGGUU